UACGUAGGGGGCAAGCGUUGUCCGGAAUCAUUGGGCGUAAAGAGCGUGUAGGCGGCCAGAAAAGUCCGCUGUGAAAACUCGAGGCUCAACCUCGAGACGCCGAUGGAAACCGUAUGGCUAGAGUCCGGAAGAGGAGAGUGGAAUUCCUGGUGUAGCGGUGAAAUGCGCAGAUAUCAGGAAGAACACCCGUGGCGAAGGCGGCUCUCUGGGACGGUACUGACGCUGAGACGCGAAAGCGUGGGGAGCGAACAGG
rnacentral:rRNA from 1 species